UGAAUAUCUUAGAAAAUAUUUUUUUUAUUAAAGGCUGAAUCACUUUUGCCUUUAAACUGAUGCUCGUGAGCUGUUUCAUCGAAUCAAAUUUAGCUAGAAUCGAUCUUGAUAAGUUUUUAGGUUAAACAAAGGGCUCUGUGAUCAAGGCUAGUCGAUGUUACUUAGGUCAACCACAAAAUGCGUCGCUAAACUAGUACUGCAAGAGAGGUCCUCAAAAAAGUCAGAGAUGGAGUGGACAUGGACUCUUGAGUCAUAUCCAAGAAAUAGACCUCUAAAGUCUUCAACGUCUCUCAUCCUACCUCUGCCCCGAGGAAAGGAUAUGGAUCUGCAUAAUGUAAUCGGAUUCAAGGUGUACUGCAAGAUCCUACCAUACUAAGUGGCCUUUUGAUGUGAUUAUCUUAGCAAAGUUUGAACACCGACAUGAAAUAAGGGUUGCAAAGUAAAGAGCUGUAGCAUCUACAUGAACUGCAAAACUCAUGGCACCUGGACUUUCAUACCUAAGGUCUUAUUCAUCUCUUCAAGUUGAAAAG